rnacentral:rRNA from 1 species
UACGUAGGUGGCAAGCGUUGUCCGGAUUUACUGGGCGUAAAGAGCGCGCAGGCGGCUGGUCAAGUCCGAUGUGAAAUCUCCCGGCUUAACUGGGAAACUGCAUCGGAAACUGAUCGGCUUGAAGGUGGGAGAGGGUAGUGGAAUUCCCGGUGUAGUGGUGAAAUGCGUAGAUAUCGUAAGGAAGACCAGUGGCGAAGGCGGGUCUCUGGACAGUUCCUGACGCUGAGGCACGAAGGCCAGGGGAGCAAACGGG